rnacentral:rRNA from 1 species
UACAGAGGUCUCAAGCGUUGUUCGGAUUCAUUGGGCGUAAAGGGCGCGUAGGUGGCGCCAUAAGUCAGGUGUGAAAUCUCGGAGCUCAACUCCGAAACUGCACUUGAUACUGUGGUGCUGGAGUACUGGAGAGGAGAUUGGAAUUUACGGUGUAGCAGUGAAAUGCGUAGAUAUCGUAAGGAAGACCAGUGGCGAAGGCGAAUCUCUGGACAGUUACUGACACUGAGGCACGAAGGCCAGGGGAGCAAACGGG